GACGAACGCUGGCGGCGUGCUUAACACAUGCAAGUCGAACGGAAAGGCCCUGCUUUUGUGGGGUGCUCGAGUGGCGAACGGGUGAGUAACACGUGAGUAACCUGCCCUUGACUUUGGGAUAACUUCAGGAAACUGGGGCUAAUACCGGAUAGGAGCUCCUGCUGCAUGGUGGGGGUUGGAAAGUUUCGGCGGUUGGGGUUGUACUCGCGGCUUAUCAGCUUGUUGGUGGGGUAGUGGCUUACCAAGGCUUGGACGGGUAGCCGGCUGAGAGGGUGACCGGGCACAAUGGGACUGAGAUACGGCGCAGAAGCGUACGGGAGGCAGCAGGGGGGAAUAUUGCAAAAUGGGCGGAAGCCUGAUGCAGCAACGCCGGGUGCGGGAUGAAGGCCUUCGGGUUGUAAACCGCUUUCGCAUGUGACGAAGAGUGAGUGACGGUAAUGGGUAAAGAAGCACCGGCUAACUACGUG
rnacentral:rRNA from 1 species